rnacentral:tRNA from 1 species
GAGGGUAUAGCACAGUGAUAGUGUGUGCUUAACAUGCACAAGGUCUUGGAUUCAAUCCCCAGUACCUCCA